GGUGUCUUGGCUAUGGUGUCUUGGCUAAAGUGUCUUGGCUUAGGUGUCUUGGCUAAUGUGUCUUGGCUAAGGUGUCUUGGCUAAUGUGUCUUGGCUAAGGUGUCUUGGCUAAGGUGUCUUGGCUAAUGUGUCUUGGCUAAGGUGUCUUGGCUAAGGUGUCUUGGCUAAGGUGUCUUGGCUAAGGUGUCUUGGCUAAUGUGUCUUGGCUAAGGUGUCUUGGCUAAGGUGUCUUGGCUAAUGUGUCUUGGCUAAGGUGUCUUGGCUAAGGUGUCUUGGCUAAAGUGUCUUGGCUAAGGUGUCUUGGCUAAUGUGUCUCGGCUAAGGUGUCUUGGCUAAAGUGUCUUGGCAAAGGUGUCUUGGCUAAGGUGUCUUGGCUAAGGUGUCUUGGCUAAUGUGUCUCGGCUAAGGUGUCUCGGCUAAGGUGUCUUGGCUAAUGUGUCUUGGCUAAGGUGUCUUGGCUAAGGUGUCUUGGCUAA